UACGUAGGUGGCAAGCGUUGUCCGGAUUUACUGGGCGUAAAGAGCGCGCAGGCGGUCGUUCAAGUCGCGUGUGAAAGCCCCCGGCUCAACUGGGGAGGGUCACGCGAUACUGAUCGACUCGAAGGCAGGAGAGGGUAGUGGAAUUCCCGGUGUAGUGGUGAAAUGCGUAGAUAUCGGGAGGAACACCAGUGGCGAAGGCGGCAUCCUGGACUGGUCCUGACACUCAGGAGCGAAAGCGUGGGGAGCGAUCCGG
rnacentral:rRNA from 1 species